rnacentral:rRNA from 1 species
UAAUCUGCGAUAAGCGCCGGUAAGGUGAUAUGAACCGUUAUAACCGGCGAUACCCGAAUGGGGAAACCCAGUGUGACUCGUCACACUAUCAUUAACUGAAUCCAUAGGUUAAUGAGGCGAACCGGGGGAACUGAAACAUCUAAGUACCCCGAGGAAAAGAAAUCAACCGAGAUUCCCCCAGUAGCGGCGAGCGAACGGGGAGGAGCCCAGAGCCUGAAUCAGCAUGUGUGUUAGUGGAAGCGUCUGGAAAGGCGCGCGAUACAGGGUGACAGCCCCGUACACAAAAGCGCAUGUGCUGUGAGCUCGAUGAGUAGGGCGGGACACGUGGUAUCCUGUCUGAAUAUGGGGGGACCAUCCUCCAAGGCUAAAUACUCCUGACUGACCGAUAGUGAACCAGUACCGUGAGGGAAAGGCGAAAAGAACCCCGGCGAGGGGAGUGAAAAAGAACCUGAAACCGUGUACGUACAAGCAGUGGGAGCCCCACCACCAAAGCAUUUGCUGUACCGCGUUGACGGAGCGAAGCGACGUCAAACCGAUAAAACAGCAGUGUAAAGUGAGCCGCAGGGCGCUUUGCGCGACAGCGCAAAGGCAGGCGGUUUCGCGUAGCGAAAGCGAAUGC